rnacentral:tRNA from 1 species
CCCUGGUUAGCUCAGUUGGUAGGGCGCCCCACCUGAAUUGGAGCGGUCCCGGGUUCGAUACCCGGACCAGGCG